rnacentral:misc_RNA from 1 species
UCCGGUUUGGCACCGGCAGUCCUCCCAGAGUCCUCGGCAUGACCCGGUAGCAACUGGGAGCGGGGGUUGCGCUCGUUGCGGGACUUAACCCAACAUCUCACGACACGAGCUGACGACAGCCAUGCAGCACCUGUCACCGGUCCAGCCGAACUGAAGGAAUCCAUCUCUGGAAACCGCGACCGGGAUGUCAAGGGCUGGUAAGGUUCUGCGCGUUGCGUCGAAUUAAACCACAUGCUCCACCGCUUGUGCGGGCCCCCGUCAAUUCCUUUGAGUUUCAGCCUUGCGGCCGUACUCCCCAGGCGGGACACUUACUGCGUUAGCGACGGCACCGAGGGGGUCGCUCCCCCCGACGCCUAGCUUCCAUCGUUUACGGCGUGGACUAC